UACGGGGGAUGCGAGCGUUAUCCGGAAUGAUUGGGCGUAAAGGGUCCGCAGGUGGCCCGGUCAGUCCGCUGUCAAAGCCUGGGGCUCAACCCUGGAGAGGCGGCGGAGACCACCGGGCUUGAGUCCGGUAGGGGCAGAGGGAAUUCCCGGUGGAGCGGUGAAAUGCGUAGAUAUGCGGAGGAACACCGAUGGCGAAGGCAGUCCCCUGGGCCUGCACUGACACUCAUGCACGAAAGCGUGGGGAGCAAACAGG
rnacentral:rRNA from 1 species